rfam:Gossypium arboreum cultivar AKA8401 contig_79790_3, whole genome shotgun sequence.
AUGCUGUGAUGAGAGCACUUUCGUAGUAACUCCUUGAACCGCUCACAUGCCUCAUAUAAAUCAAGUUACUGAAAUGAAGUGAUUUCAUUUCGGAUCUU